CCCUGGAGGGGGUUUUUGGCCCCCACUGGGGAUUGGAACCCCGGCCCCAGAUUCCUUACGGGAGGCCACCAGUAGGGAAUUUUUGGCCAAUGGAAGAAAUUUUGACCGAGCAACCCCCGCUUGAGUGAAGAAGGUUUUCGGAUCGUAAAACUCUGUUGUUAGAGAAGAACAAGGAUGAGAGUAAAAUGUUCAUCCCUUGACGGUAUCUAACCAGAAAGCCACGGCUAACUACGUGCCAGCAGCCGCGGUAAUACGUAGGUGGCAAGCGUUGUCCGGAUUUAUUGGGCGUAAAGCGAGCGCAGGCGGUUUCUUAAGUCUGAUGUGAAAGCCCCCGGCUCAACCGGGGAGGGUCAUUGGAAACUGGGAGACUUGAGUGCAGAAGAGGAGAGUGGAAUUCCAUGUGUAGCGGUGAAAUGCGUAGAUAUAUGGAGGAACACCAGUGGCGAAGGCGGCUCUCUGGUCUGUAACUGACGCUGAGGCUCGAAAGCGUGGGGAGCGAACAGGAUUAGAUACCCUGGUAGUCCACGCCGUAAACGAUGAGUGUUAAGUGUUGGAGGGUUUCCGCCCUUCAGUGCUGCAGCAAACGCAUUAAGCACUCCGCCUGGGGAGUACGACCGCAAGGUUGAAACUCAAAGGAAUUGACGGGGGCCCGCACAAGCGGUGGAGCAUGUGGUUUAAUUCGAAGCAACGCGAAGAACCUUACCAGGUCUUGACAUCCUUUGACCACUCUAGAGAUAGAGCUUCCCCUUCGGGGGCAAAGUGACAGGUGGUGCAUGGUGGUCGUCAGCUCGUGUCGUGAGAUGUUGGGUUAAGUCCCGCAACGAGCGCAACCCUUAUUGUUAGUUGCCAUCAUUUAGUUGGGCACUCUAGCGAGACUGCCGGUGACAAACCGGAGGAAGGUGGGGAUGACGUCAAAUCAUCAUGCCCCUUAUGACCUGGGCUACACACGUGCUACAAUGGGAAGUACAACGAGUUGCGAAGUCGCGAGGUUAAGCUAAUCUCUUAAAGCUUCUCUCAGUUCGGAUUGUAGGCUGCAACUCGCCUACAUGAAGCCGGAAUCGCUAGUAAUCGCGGAUCAGCACGCCGCGGUGAAUACGUUCCCGGGCCUUGUACACACCGCCCGUCACACCACGAGAGUUUGUAACACCCGAAGUCGGUGAGGUAACCUUUGGAGCCAGCCGCCUAAGGUGAUAGAUAUGU
rnacentral:rRNA from 1 species